rnacentral:rRNA from 1 species
GAUGAACGCUGGCGGCGUGCCUAAUACAUGCAAGUCGAGCGAACAGACGAGGAGCUUGCUCCUCUGACGUUAGCGGCGGACGGGUGAGUAACACGUGGAUAACCUACCUAUAAGACUGGGAUAACUUCGGGAAACCGGGGCUAAUACCGGAUAAUAUAUUGAACCGCAUGGUUCAAUAGUGAAAGACGGUUUUGCUGUCACUUAUAAAUGGAUCCGCGCCGCAUUAGCUAGUUGGUAAGGUAACGGCUUACCAAGGCGACGAUGCGUAGCCGACCUGAGAGGGUGAUCGGCCACACUGGAACUGAGACACGGUCCAGACUCCUACGGGAGGCAGCAGUAGGGAAUCUUCCGCAAUGGGCGAAAGCCUGACGGAGCAACGCCGCGUGAGUGAUGAAGGUCUUCGGAUCGUAAAACUCUGUUAUUAGGGAAGAACAAAUGUGUAAGUAACUAUGCACGUCUUGACGGUACCUAAUCAGAAAGCCACGGCUAACUACGUG